rnacentral:rRNA from 1 species
GCGGAGGAAAAGAAACCAACAGGGAUUGCCCCAGUAACGGCGAGUGAAGCGGCAACAGCUCAAAUUUGAAAUCUGGCCCCCCGGGCCCGAGUUGUAAUUUGAAGAGGAUGCUUCUGGCAAGGUGCCGUCCGAGUUCCCUGGAACGGGACGCCGCAGAGGGUGAGAGCCCCGUACGGUCGGACGCCGAGCCUCUGUGAAGCUCCUUCGACGAGUCGAGUAGUUUGGGAAUGCUGCUCAAAAUGGGAGGUAAACCCCUUCUAAAGCUAAAUACCGGCCAGAGACCGAUAGCGCACAAGUAGAGUGAUCGAAAGAUGAAAAGCACUUUGAAAAGAGAGUUAAAAAGCACGUGAAAUUGUUGAAAGGGAAGCGCUUGCGACCAGACUCGCGCCCGUCGGAUCAGCCGUCGCUCGUCGGCGGUGCACUCCGGCGGGCUCGGGCCAGCAUCAGUUCGCCUCGGGGGGAGAAAGGCGGCGGGAAUGUGGCUCUACGGAGUGUUA